AGCAACAGAGAAGAUCUGCACUUGACGUUAAUUUAUUAUACAUACUGGAAUGUUUAAUCAUUCGAUACGAUUUUUACGUUAGGGAAGGUCUCCAGACUACAGUGGCUCUUUUUUUUUUUUUUUCAAAAGAAGGGCUAUGCCUGUAAUGGGUAUAUAAUAUGCGUUGCCUCUGGUUAACGUGCUCUCUAUCUUUUGGCUAAAACAAAGUUUGAGUUUCGAAAGCUCUAGAGAUGGCUAUUUCACUGGUCAUAGUUAUAGUUAUUGCGGAUACUACUUCUUUCAUUUUGAAAGAAUAGUUAACAGAAUGGAGACUACUCUCUCAAGUUGC
rnacentral:RNase_MRP_RNA from 1 species